rnacentral:rRNA from 1 species
AUUGAACGCUGGCGGCAUGCCUUACACAUGCAAGUCGAACGGCAGCACGGGGGCAACCCUGGUGGCGAGUGGCGAACGGGUGAGUAAUGCAUCGGAACGUGCCCAGUAGUGGGGGAUAACCAGUCGAAAGACUGGCUAAUACCGCAUACGACCUAAGGGCGAAAGCGGGGGACCGUAAGGCCUCGCGCUAUUGGAGCGGCCGAUGUCUGAUUAGCUAGUUGGCGGGGUAAGAGCCCACCAAGGCGACGAUCAGUAGCUGGUCUGAGAGGACGACCAGCCACACUGGGACUGAGACACGGCCCAGACUCCUACGGGAGGCAGCAGUGGGGAAUUUUGGACAAUGGGCGCAAGCCUGAUCCAGCCAUGCCGCGUGCGGGAAGAAGGCCUUCGGGUUGUAAACCGCUUUUGGCAGGAACGAAACGGCGCAAGCCAAUACCUUGCGCUAAUGACGGUACCUGCAGAAUAAGCACCGGCUAACUACGUGCCAGCCGCCGCCGUAAAAC